ACCUGGGUGACUCAGUCGGUUGAGCAUCUGACUUCGACUCAGGUCAUGGUCUUGCAUUUGUGGGUUCAAGCCCCACAUCAGGCC
rnacentral:tRNA from 1 species